rnacentral:misc_RNA from 1 species
GCAAACUUGGUCAUUUAGAGGAAGUAAAAGUCGUAACAAGGUUUCCGUAGGUGAACCUGCGGAAGGAUCAUUAUUGAAAAUCCUUUUGGAUGUUGCUGGCCUUUCGGGGCACUGUGCACUCCAUACCUCUUUACACACCUGUGAACUUGAUGUAGGUUGGCAGAUUGUAACAAGUCUGUUAUACCUAUGUUUUUAUAACACACUCUUUUAAAAGUAUUAUGUGGAUGUUAUUAAUUGUAUAAACUUAAUACAACUUUCAACAAUGGAUCUCUUGGUUCUCGCAUCGAUGAAGAACGCAGC